rnacentral:lncRNA from 1 species
AAUGGACUAUUUUUGUUUUAGAUAGUGUAGUAAUUCCCCUUUAGUUUUUCUUUGGGCCAUAGUUCUUUUUCAAGGGUUGUGCUUGAACACGGUGUAGUUAGUUUUUGUUUAUUUUGUUUCUAGUUUUUAGGUUGUACUUAUGAGCGAUGAGCUGAAAUAGGGAGAGAAGCCCUUAGCAAUGAUACACUUGAACACAAUAGACACUAGAGUGUGGAACUUAGUCUUAGUGGUUGAUUCUCAUUAGAGUUCUUUAAAUUGUAUGUUUGUAACUAACUUGAGUACUCUAACAAGAGUGUCUUAAUAAGCCAAUCUAGAGUGAGUUAGGUGCCAUAUGUGUAUGAGUUGUAUUGUAUUUUGUUCUCUACAUUUGAUUACUAGAACUUGCCUCGUAUGUUUACAAUGAAAUAGAGAAAAAUGUGCAGUAUUUUGAAAAAUAAAAGAAUGAGC